UACGGAGGGGGCUAGCGUUGUUCGGAAUUAUUGGGCGUAAAGCGUCCGCAGGUGGUUGAUCAAGUCUGCUGUCAAAGCGCGAAGCUUAACUUCGUAAGGGCAGUGGAAACUGAUGAACUUGAGGGUGAUAGGGGCAGAGGGAAUUCCUAGUGUAGCGGUGAAAUGCGUAGAGAUUAGGAAGAACACCGGUGGCGAAAGCGCUCUGCUGGGUCACACCUGACACUGAGGGACGAAAGCUAGGGGAGCGAAAGGG
rnacentral:rRNA from 1 species